GAUGAACGCUGGCGGCGUGCUUAACACAUGCAAGUCGAACGAUGAAGCCCAGCUUGCUGGGUGGAUUAGUGGCGAACGGGUGAGUAACACGUGAGUAACCUGCCCUUAACUCUGGGAUAAGCCUGGGAAACUGGGUCUAAUACCGGAUAGGAGCGUCCACCGCAUGGUGGGUGUUGGAAAGAUUUAUCGGAUUUGGAUGGACUCGCGGCCUAUCAGCUUGCUGGUGAGGUAAUGGCUCACCAAGGCGACGACGGGUAGCCGGCCUGAGAUGGUGACCGGCCACACUGGGACUGAGACGCGGCCCGGACUCCUCCGGGAGGCAGCAGUGGGGAAGAUUGCACAAUGGGCGGAAGCCUGAUGCAGCGACGCCGCGUGAGGGAUGACGGCCUUCGGUUUGUAUUCCUCUGUCAGUAGGGAAGAAGCGAAAGUGACGGUACCUGCAGAAGAAGCACCGGCUAACUACGUG
rnacentral:rRNA from 1 species